rnacentral:tRNA from 1 species
GCCCGGCUAGCUCAGUUGGUAGAGCAUGAGAUUCAAUCUCAGGGUCGUGGGUUCAUGCCUCACGUUGGGCG